GAAACCGGGGGUAAUACCGUAUGAGUCCUCGUUGACGCAAGUCGACGAGGGGAAAGGCGGGGAUCCUUCGGGACCUGUCGUCUCUGGAUGGGCCCGCGUCCGAUUAGCUUGUUGGUGGGGUAAUGGCCCACCAAGGCUGCGAUCGGUAGCCGGCCUGAGAGGGUGAACGGCCACAUUGGGACUGAGACACGGCCCAGACUCCUACGGGAGGCAGCAGUGGGGAAUAUUGGGCAAUGGGGGAAACCCUGACCCAGCGACGCCGCGUGGAGGAUGAAGGCCUUCGGGUUGUAAACUCCUGUCAGGUGGGAAGAAGAGCUUGUCGGAUAAUACCCGGCAGGAAUUGACGGUACCACCAAAGGAAGCCCCGGCUAACUCCGUGCCAGCAGCCGCGGUAAUACGGAGGGGGCAAGCGUUAUUCGGAUUUACUGGGCGUAAAGCGCACGUAGGUGGCAUGGUAAGUCAAANGUGAAAGCCCUCGGCUCAACCGAGGAACUGCCUUU
rnacentral:rRNA from 1 species